rnacentral:rRNA from 1 species
GCUGGCGGUAGGCCUAACACAUGCAAGUCGAACGGCAGCACAGUAAGAGCUUGCUCUUAUGGGUGGCGAGUGGCGGACGGGUGAGGAAUACAUCGGAAUCUACCUUUUCGUGGGGGAUAACGUAGGGAAACUUACGCUAAUACCGCAUACGACCUUCGGGUGAAAGCAGGGGACCUUCGGGCCUUGCGCGGAUAGAUGAGCCGAUGUCGGAUUAGCUAGUUGGCGGGGUAAAGGCCCACCAAGGCGACGAUCCGUAGCUGGUCUGAGAGGAUGAUCAGCCACACUGGAACUGAGACACGGUCCAGACUCCUACGGGAGGCAGCAGUGGGGAAUAUUGGACAAUGGGCGCAAGCCUGAUCCAGCCAUACCGCGUGGGUGAAGAAGGCCUUCGGGUUGUAAAGCCCUUUUGUUGGGAAAGAAAAGCAGUCGGCUAAUACCCGGUUGUUCUGACGGUACCCAAAGAAUAAGCACCGGCUAACUUCGUGCCAGCAGCCGCGGUAAUACGAAGGGUGCAAGCGUUACUCGGAAUUACUGGGCGUAAAGCGUGCGUAGGUGGUUGUUUAAGUCUGUUGUGAAAGCCCUGGGCUCAACCUGGGAAUUGCAGUGGAUACUGGGCGACUAGAGUGUGGUAGAGGGUAGUGGAAUUCCCGGUGUAGCAGUGAAAUGCGUAGAGAUCGGGAGGAACAUCCAUGGCGAAGGCAGCUACCUGGACCAAC